rnacentral:lncRNA from 1 species
GGACGAUUCCAAGGAUCACUGUUGUUGCUAAUUUUUUUUCUUUUAAAAAAUACAGAUAUUUUUAAUAAAAGUAUGUUAAUUAUGUUAACCUGUAAUGGGCUUAUUAUUUCAAAAUCAAUUAACAAUGUAAAUAUUUAAAACUUCUGUGUUAAAAUUUCUAAUAGUAUAAAUAGCAGUAGAUUUAGCCCACUCUAAGGGAGAUGGUUGUGCUUUAGUCAGGAGUAGGCCGAGGCAGCCUUCUGGUGCAGCAUGACUCAGUGGGUUUGGAGGCAGGCACACAACUCCACACAUUAUGUAACCAUGCCAUGUGAGGUGCAUUAGGUGACCACUCAUAUGAGCACGUGCUUGGCUCAAAGCCACUAUUGUCUGUAAAAGGUAAAAUUACCCUGCUGACACUACAUAUGGCUUGCACCCAGAGAGAGAAUAAAGCCAUGUCGAAACCGCCUACUCGAGUGUUUUUCCAGUUACCUGCCACCCACCCACCAACUCCCCUUGGACUUUAGUUUGGGCUAGAACCUGACAAUUGGCAUCACGAACAGGAUCCUAAGGUAAGUGAGCCUUCGGUCCCUGCUGAUUCCAGGUUGGCCAUGUGACCACAACAUGGGUUGUGGUACCCGGUGGUAGCCGUGCUGUGAGGGUGGGCCUGAGUGGAAACCUGGGUGGCAGUAGAUGGGUCCCCCAUGAGCAUGGAGAAGGCGCUGAAGCAGCUGGAAGUGCAGAGCACCAAGAAGGAGAGAGCCUUUGCUGGCAGAGUUGGAUGGGCAUUUUUAACUGUGCUAAGAAAAGUACACACCCAGUCCCUGAGGGAUGCAGACUGGAGGUCUGGCUACACCGAUCUGGAAAAUAAUUAGAGGCUGCCAUGAAUGGGGACCUCCAGGUGCAGGCAGGAUGCCUGGAGGUGUGGCUUCAGAGCUUGGAAAAGGAAUUAGAGGCUACCAUGAAUGCAGGCCUGGGUCCAUCAUCUUGUCUGGAGAUCCCCACUCAGUUUCAUACCAAGGAGGAAGAACCCCUGUUGCGGGCUCACCCGGUGGUCUGACAGAAGGUAGAUCAUGAACAGCCACUGGGGCUCCAAGGGUGGACUCAGGGACUCCCCACCAUAAUGCAACACAUUUCGUAUAUUGCCUGUACCCCAACUGAGUUGCAGGAAUUAGGCAAGCAGUGUUGCCAGUGUCCAGGGGAACCCCUGCCUGCCUGGAUGCUUCGUCUGUGGAACAAGGGAGCAGAUGGUAUCUCCCAUUCCACCUCUGAGAUGGACAAGCUGGCCUCCACCAUGACUCACCCCUCUCUCUGUCAGCGGCUGCAAGUGAGCAGGUGGUUAGUGGCAGCGCAAGGAGACCACACCCUGACUGAGUGGCUACAGGCAGCCAUAUGAACUGUGUGGAAUAAUGCUGGUGAAAUGCCCAAAACUGUGAGUAAAUGGCAGUCAUAUGCCAAUUUGGUGUAAGUCAUUCGGGAGAUGGGUAUGCGGCAGGCUAUGUUUGUCCUGAAUACCUGAGGGCCAGAUGAUAAAUGUUUCACCUCCCACAUGAGGGAUCUCAUGUUGGGUUUGAUGCUCCUGAGCCCCUUUGGCUCCCUAGCUGCUGUCCUCACCCCAUACGUAGGGCACCGCAUACAUGAAGUAACCACUGCCAUGGCGGCUCUCAGGGAAGCAGAAGGCCUUCAGGGGGAUUGGAGGGUCCACACCAUAAAGAAGGGGAAGUUACCCCACCCACAGGGGGCUCCCCCAUAAAAAAAGGGGGCCCCAACGAGUGACACGCUCACAGAUGUGGAUAGAUUUGAUUUUGGCUGGGGUUGACUGAGAGAAAAUUGAUAAGCAGCCCAAUGAAAUACUCCUAACUUUGCGGAGACAGUUGUAUGCAGGGCAGCAAUUCCGGAAAAUGCCCAAAGGGGAGAAAGGCAUUGCUGUGUGACCUGGUCCUACCCAGCUCAGAGACUACUUGCUGCAGCCAGGUGGAAAUGUAGAGCCUUUUCUGUUCAACUAGGGAACUGGCCAAAGGUGUCUGGCUUGGGGGGACACCAGAUGACCAGAGGCCACAUGUGGAAUUGGCAAUCCACUGGUCCCCCACCAAUGUACAGUGGGUGCUGGUGCUGGUAGAUACUGGCAUAGAUUGUAGCCUUGUUUAUGGGAACCCAGUUAAGUUUUUGGGCAAAUCUGCAUAUAUUAAAGGUUACGGAGGCCAGUCAGUGAAAGUGAAACCUGUAUCUCUGUACCUUGGCAUUGGCCACUUGGCUCCUUGCUUAUACACUGUGUAUGUCUCUCCCAUACCUGAAUACAUUCUGGAGGUGGAUAUUUUACAUGGCUUGGAAGCUGUGCCAUCUAUCAUGGAUUUGAUGAACCACUCGACAAUGGAAUUAGGACAGUACCACUAUGUGGUGGACUUGGCCAAUGCAUUCUUCUCAGUUGACCUUGCUCUAGAGAGCCAGGAACAGUUUGCCUUGAUGACAAUGGACUUUCACAGUGUUGCUGCAGGGCUAUGUGCAUAGCUCCACCAUAUGUCAUGGUCUUGUUGCCAUGGAUUUAACAGCCUGAAAAUGUCCAAAGGGAGUCCACUUGUUCCAUUACGUUGAUGAUAUUAUGUUAACCUCUGAUUCUCUUGCAGAUUUAGAAGCAGUGGCACCCCUCUUGUGGCAACAUUUGGCAGCAUGCAGUUGGGCCAUCAACAAAUCCAAGGUCCGAGGGCCUGGAUUACCUGCUAAAUUCUUGGGAGUUAUCUGGUCGGGGCUGAAGUUCCAGGCUGGACCUGAUGCUCCAAACCUUGAAUGAAUGGCCAUGGAAAAGCAGCCCAGCCCAGGUGGAGGCUUUGUUACAUGGGCCACCACCCCUAUUCAGUUGCAGAUACACACCAAGGGUAACCGCCUCUGACCAGGGACACCAUGAUCAACCAGCCAAUGCCAAAGACCUCUGGGGGUCAGACUAUUCUGAGGACUGCUUUGGCUCCACCGUCCACAGUGGCAACCACACCCACUUGGUCUUUUAUGCGGGACAUGGAUGAAGCUGGAAACCAUCAUUCUCAG